GACGAACGCUGGCGGCGCACAUAAGACAUGCAAGUCGAACGGACUUAACCAUUAGUUUACUAUUGGAGCGGUUAGUGGCGGACGGGUGAGUAACGCGUGAGUAACCUGCCUCUGAGAGGGGAAUAACGUUCUGAAAAGAACGCUAAUACCGCAUGACACAUAUUUGCCGCAUGACAGAUAUGUCAAAGAUUUUAUCGCUCAGAGAUGGACUCGCGUCCGAUUAGUUAGUUGGUGAGGUAACGGCUCACCAAGACCGCGAUCGGUAGCCGGACUGAGGGGUUGAACGGCCACAUUGGGACUGAGACACGGCCCAG
rnacentral:rRNA from 1 species